rnacentral:rRNA from 1 species
UACAGAGGGGGCAAGCGUUGCUCGGAAUUACUGGGCGUAAAGGGCGCGUAGGCGGGAUGGCAAGUCGGUCGUGAAAUCCCUCGGCUCAACUGAGGAUCGUCGAUCGAUACUGCCGUUCUUGAGGAUUGCAGAGGAGACUGGAAUUCCCGGUGUAGCGGUGAAAUGUGUAGAGAUCGGGAGGAACACCGGUGGCGAAGGCGGGUCUCUGGGCAAUUCCUGACGCUGAGGUGCGAAAGCGUGGGGAGCAAACAGG